UCCGUAGGCGGUCUUAUAAGUCAGUGGUGAAAGCCCAUCGCUCAACGAUGGAACUGCCAUUGAUACUGUAAGACUUGAAUACUUAGGAAGUAACUAGAAUAUGUAGUGUAGCGGUGAAAUGCUUAGAUAUUACAUGGAAUACCAAUUGCGAAGGCAGGUUACUACUAAGUGAUUGACGCUGAUGGACGAAAGCGUGGGGAGCGAACA
rnacentral:rRNA from 1 species